CCUACGGGCGGCAGCAGUGAGGAAUAUUGGUCAAUGGACGAGAGUCUGAACCAGCCAAGUAGCGUGAAGGAUGAUUGCCCAAUGGGUUGUAAAUUCUUUUUAUAAAGGAAUAAAACGAGGCACGUGUGCCUUUCUGCAUGUACUUUAUGAAUAAGGACCGGUCAACCCCGUGCCAGCAGCCGCGGUAAUCCGGGGGAUCCGAUCGUUAUCCGGAUUUAUUGGGUUUAAAGGGAGUGUAGCUGGGUAGAUAAGUCAGUUGUGAAAGUUUGCGGCUCAACCGGAAAAUUGCAAUUGAUACUGGCAGUCUUGAGUACAGUUGAGGUAAGCGGAAUUCGUUGUGUAGCGGUGAAAUGCUUAGAUAUCACGAAGAACCCCGAUUGCGAAGGCAGCUGACUAAACUGUGACUGACAUUGAUGCUCGAAAGUGUGGGUAGCAAACAGGAUUAGAUACCCUUGUAGUC
rnacentral:rRNA from 1 species